ensembl:lncRNA
AUGACUUCUGCAUAUGUUUUGUUAGAAUUGCUGCGUGGAGACCGUGAGAUGGGUUUAGGGCCUAAGAGUAAUGGGCAACAGGUGAUUCACGGAGCCGUGUGGGUGCAAAAGGGAGACACCUGGGGGGAGAACAGAUGUCAGAAUGGCCUGAGAGGCCAUUUGGGCCAUAGAAAUGGGGGAAACAUAUGCCUGAGGAUGACCUGGGGGGGUCAUCCAAGCCCUAAAUGGGGGGAACCAACCUUUAGAAGAGUGCGUUUAUGACUUCUUUGUUUUCUAUGGAAAAGUACAGCUGCUAAGAGUUUGUAACCUUGACGGGGGUAAAAGAGAUAUAAAGCGGAGGACUGCCCUCCCUUCCUUUGUCACACUCUGCAGCGACUUGUGUUUCUGUAUGACUGUCUGACCUUCUUUGCAAAGAAUAAAAGCUUCUUUUUUUUAAUUAUAAGUUUGAGAGUGAGCCUGUCUCUUAUGCUAAUGAGAAUUGAUUUAAUUUUUGCCACAACAGUUGUUUUUCUCAGCCGAUCAAUUCGUAGUUGAUUGCUGAUGUCGCUGGUAGUUUCCAACCUCUUGAUUUCUCCAUGCCCUUUGUUUUUCCUAUAGUUCUAAUUGACUUCCUCUUUUCUUUUAGCAUCCAAAUUGCUUGCUUUUCUUUCAGAGUCGCUUCCUCGUCUCCAUCCUGGUUUGUGUGUGUCAUCGUCAAAUGCAAGACUUAGAAUGCAGAAGCAAUGGAUAUAACUGAAAAGACACAUUCCCUGCUUUUAAUAUCUGAAGAAUUAAUGCAACAGGACACAGCUGAACACUAAGAAAGACCUUUGAGGCAACUGUUCCAAUACUUAUGCUCACAGUUUCGUCUUAUAUUCAUCUUUAGUCAUAUUUAUAGAUUUCUUGACUCCACAGCAAACAGAACAAUUUUGGCAUUACUGCUCGGUAAGUACAUAUGCUCAAACUGCUUGCAACCUUCCCUCCCCAUUAUAAGCAUGAGCAUAUUACUGUGCACAGUCUUCUUUUGUUUCAGAUCACUAAGGCUUUGAAGUCCAGGCAUGGACCUCACUGCUGAGAGUCACUCAUUCUCAUAACCAAGCUACAGUAUAGACGUCCCACUGCCACAUGUACACAAUUACCACCGCUCACUUUUAAAGCCAUUACUAAGUGUCUUAAUUGUCUAUGUAUUUCCAAGCUGAUGGUUCCGGGGGGUUAAUGUUAAAGCUUUUGUAUGUUCAAUUAAUUUUGGAGCAAGAACCCCCAUAAGGAACCAAAGAUAAAUUGUGUUUCAAUAAACUCAAGUAACUUGCCAAAGUGUUCCUGUCUGAACUAGACUAUUACUCCUGCGGGUUUAACCAUUAGCAUAGCUAACUAAUGCUUGCCUUUUCGCCCGAUCACAGAGCAAAAUUUAUCUUAGAAUACUGCAGGUCAGUGUCGAAUUAAUAAUAACCGGGAGUCUUAAAAUCUCAAUCAAAAUUGUUACAACAACCACAUAAGUCCCAUAUAUCUAACGACAAAAUCCCAGAGGCAGCGUGUAUAAAUAGUUUUAUUUACUUACUAUAUCUUGGGUAAAGAAUCCCCACUUUCAGUUUUGAACAGCAU